rnacentral:lncRNA from 1 species
AAACCACAAAUGCAACGCUCCGUCUGCAACUUCAGUAUGACCAGCACCCUCACAGCGUUGGUGGCACUGUUAAGGAGUACGAAGGACCCUGUGAAAUUGGAUGACUUCCCUCACUGAGCCAUUAACAGCGCUGGAACAAAACCCGGGCGCUUAACUCGUCCCUGUAAGUCAAUUCCUAAAGUAAAUGCUCAGAGCAAUUACACAUGAGGGAUUGUUAAUGAGACAGGAAAUUGAUUUGCAGCUUAAUGCAACAGUGCAAAUCCAGUGACCUCGUGUUAAGAUGCUGAAAUCUUCUGUGUUCUCUCCCGGCUCAGAACACCCUUUAGGCCCUGUGCUGCAUUUCAGAAGCUCUGAGUGCUUUCACAGGAGGUUUCCUCCUCUUCUUUUCCUCCUGCUGAGGGCUUUGGUUGGGCUUUACGUGUGGGUUUAUGUUAAAGCCUGGAUGGAGUUGAAUUGGGUACCACCAUUGCCUCGACUGCGCCUUGCUAAAGGAAUAGGUGUGUGUGCACAUCACUGUGUGUGUCACAAAGCCCCCUGAGAAAUGCAAGGGGAAAAUGGGCUGCCCCAGGGAAGGCAGCCCUUGGUAACACAGCCAGUGCCUCUGGGAGCCCUCUGCUCCACCUUCAGCCUCUGUGAGUGCUGCAGGUGUGGGAUCCUCACCCCUGCGUGUGCCUGCAAUGCUUUACAGUGUGCCCCUAUCUUUGUGCCUGGUGGGCACAUCACUGACAGUGUGCACUUUUCAGGGCUUCUCUGUGAUAGUGCUUCGGGGAGCACUGGUGCCAUGUGAGCAGUGCUGGGUGAUGGCACAGGGAUGGGUUUGCUCCAGGGCUGGGGGCAACGGGGUCCCAGCCUUGCUAAAGCUGUGCUGCUCUGAGCUGGGCGGCCUGAAUCAGCCCCAAGUCCCUUCAUGGCAGCACUGUGGGUGCACAGAUGUUGCAGACUGCAUGGAACGUGCAAAGGCAUCACCUGCCUCCCUUCCCAGGAGGGGAAACCAGAGUGACUGCUGGGGUCUGGAGCCUGUGUCAGAC